rnacentral:tRNA from 1 species
UCCUUGGCAGUCCAGUGGUUAGGACUCUUCACUUACACUGCAGGGGGCCCAGGUUCCAUCCCUGGUCAGGGAA